UGGGGAAUUUUGGACAAUGGGCGAAAGCCUGAUCCAGCAAUGCCGCGUGUGUGAAGAAGGCCUUCGGGUUGUAAAGCACUUUUGUCCGGAAAGAAAUCCUUGGCUCUAAUACAGUCGGGGGAUGACGGUACCGGAAGAAUAAGCACCGGCUAACUACGUGCCAGCAGCCGCGGUAAUACGUAGGGUGCAAGCGUUAAUCGGAAUUACUGGGCGUAAAGCGUGCGCAGGCGGUUUGCUAAGACCGAUGUGAAAUCCCCGGGCUCAACCUGGGAACUGCAUUGGUGACUGGCAGGCUAGAGUAUGGCAGAGGGGGGUAGAAUUCCACGUGUAGCAGUGAAAUGCGUAGAGAUGUGGAGGAAUACCGAUGGCGAAGGCAGCCCCCUGGGCCAAUACUGACGCUCAUGCACGAAAGCGUGGGGGGCAAACAGGAUUAGAUACCCUGGUAGUCCACGCCCUAAACGAUGUCAACUAGUUGUUGGGGACUUCAUUUUCCUUAGUAACGUAGCUAACGCGUGAAGUUGACCGCCUGGGGAGUACGGUCGCAAGAUUAAAACUCAAAUGAAUUGACGGGGUCAUAGCUGUUUCC
rnacentral:rRNA from 1 species